CAGUCGCCGCGGUAAUACAGAGGGUGCAAGCGUUAAUCGGAUUUACUGGGCGUAAAGGGCGCGUAGGUGGUUAUUUAAGUGAGAUGUGAAAGCCCCGGGCUUAACCUGGGAACUGCAUCUUAUACUGGGUAACUGGAGUGCAGUAGAGGGUAGUGGAAUUUCCGGUGUAGCGGUGAAAUGCGCAGAUAUCGGAAGGAACGCCAGUGGCGAAGGCGGCUACCUGGACUGAGACUGACACUGAGGCGCGAGAGCGUGGGGAGCAAACAGGAUUAGAUACCCCGGUAGUCCCUGUCUCUUAUAC
rnacentral:rRNA from 1 species